AGAGUUUGAUCCUGGCUCAGGAUGAACGCUGGCGGCAUGCCUAAUACAUGCAAGUCGAACGAGGAUCCUUCGGGAUCCUAGUGGCGAACGGGUGAGUAACACGUAGGGAACCUGCCCGCGCACCGGGAAUACGCUCUGGAAACGGAGAACAAAUCCCGAUGUACAGGAAGGAGGCAUCUUCUUUCUGUGAAACAUCCAGUAAGGGAUGGGGCGCGGAUGGACCUGCGGUGCAUUAGUUAGUUGGCGAGGGUAAAGGCCCACCAAGACGAUGAUGCAUAGCCGGCCUGAGAGGGCGGACGGCCACAUUGGGACUGAGACACGGCCCAGACUCCUGCGGGAGGCAGCAGUAGGGAAUUUUCGUCAAUGGGCGCAAGCCUGAACGAGCGAUGCCGCGUGAGUGAAGAAGGCCUUCGGGUCGUAAAGCUCUGUUGCGGGGGAAAAAAGGCAUCUGCAGGAAAUGGUAGAUGACAGAUGGUGCCCCGCCAGAAAGUCACGGCUAACUACGUGCCAGCAGCCGCGGUAAUACGUAGGUGGCGAGCGUUAUCCGGAAUGAUUGGGCGUAAAGGGUGCGCAGGCGGUCCUGCAAGUCUGGAGUGAAACGUAUGAGCUCAACUCAUGCAUGGCUCUGGAAACUGGAGGACUGGAGAGCAGGAGAGGGCGGUGGAACUCCAUGUGUAGCGGUAAAAUGCGUAGAUAUAUGGAAGAACACCAGUGGCGAAGGCGGCCGCCU
rnacentral:rRNA from 1 species